rnacentral:rRNA from 1 species
AACGAACGCUGGCGGCAGGCCUAAUACAUGCAAGUCGAACGAGUGGCGGACGGGUGAGUGAUGUAUGGGAAACUGCGCGACCGAGGGGGAAAACUACUGGAAAAGGUAGCUAAUACCGCAUACCAUCCGUUGUGCCCAGAGUGGUUAAGCUAGACGGUGGGGUAACGGUUCACCUAGGCGACGAUGCCUAGCUGGUCUGAGAGGAUGACCAGCCAAACUGGGACUGAGACACGGUCCAGACUCCUACGGGAGGCAGCAGUGGGGAAUAUUGAGCACGGGACGAAAGCCUGAUGCAGCAAUGCCGCGUGUGUGAAGAAGGCCUUCGGGUUGUAAAGUACUUUCGGGGAGGAGGCGGUACUCGCACAGAAAGCACCGGCUAACUCCGUGCCAGCAGCCGCGGUAAUAC